rnacentral:rRNA from 1 species
AUUGAACGCUGGCGGAAUGCUUUACACAUGCAAGUCGAACGGUAGAGGGGGCAACCCCUCGAGAGUGGCGAACGGGUGAGUAAUAUAUCGGAACGUGCCCAGUCGUGGGGGAUAACGUAGCGAAAGUUACGCUAAUACCGCAUACGAUCUAAGGAUGAAAGCGGGGGAUUGCAAGACCUCGCGCGAUUGGAGCGGCCGAUAUCAGAUUAGGUAGUUGGUGGGGUAAAGGCUCACCAAGCCAACGAUCUGUAGCUGGUCUGAGAGGACGACCAGCCACACUGGAACUGGGAAACGGUCCAGACUCCUACGGGAGGCAGCAGUGGGGAAUUUUGGACAAUGGACGCAAGUCUGAUCCAGCCAUUCCGCGUGCAGGAUGAAGGCCCUCGGGUUGUAAACUGCUUUUGUACGGAACGAAAAGGUCUCUCUUAAUACGGGGGGCUCAUGACGGUACCGUAAGAAUAAGCACCGGCUAACUACGUGCCAGCCGCCGCAGUAA